rnacentral:rRNA from 1 species
AUACGUAGGGGGCAAGCGUUAUCCGGAUUCAUUGGGCGUAAAGCGCGUGUAGGCGGUCUGUUAGGUCGGGAGUUAAAUCCGGGGGCUCAACCCCCGUCCGCUCCCGAUACCGGCAGACUUGAGUUCGGUAGGGGAAAGUGGAAUUCCCAGUGUAGCGGUGGAAUGCGCAGAUAUUGGGAAGAACACCGGUGGCGAAGGCGGCUUUCUGGGCCGUAACUGACGCUGAGACGCGAAAGCUAGGGGAGCAAACAGGAUUAGAUACCCUGGUAGUCCUAGCCGUAAACGAUGGACACUAGGUGUGGGGAGAUGAUCUCUCCGUGCCGCAGCUAACGCAUUAAGUGUCCCGCCUGGGGAGUACGGUCGCAAGACUAAAACUCAAAUGAAUUGACGGGG